UUUUAGUUAGAGAGCAUAUCCAUAUUUCGUACCCAAGGGAAAACGUGAAAAAGAGCAGGGAAAAAAACCAUGCAAUAGCAAAAGAAAUCAUUUUACAGUGCUGGACCACUAGUAUAACACAUGAUUAUUCUUGUCAACAAGGAUAUGUAGAAGCCCAUUCGUUUUUGAAUAGAUUGAUCGACCAUGGGUGGGCAAGGAGCGAGCAGAAGGAGGAUAUGGACCAACUUCCAAAGAAGUACAUGCUUCGAACCAACCCCAUUAUCUUGGUGCAAUUCCUUUAUAAUAAUGACGGUCAUGUCUUCUCUCAGAAAUCAAAAACCCAUAAACCUUAUCCAUAUUAUGCAAACAAAGAGUAAAUUCCUUGUAAGAUAUAGUCCAAGUAAUCCCAACCAUAGUUAGAGAAAAAUGAGAACAUGUAAACUCACAAAACCUUGGGACUUGCAAAAUACUCAUCCAGCUAUUACUAAAAUUAUGCUGCAAUUUUCAAACUACCAACUGUUAUCUAGAAUCCAUUAAUCUUGACUUCAUUAUGUUGGGGAAGGAUCCUUAAAAUUACGCUGCGAUAUAUGAGUAUUUCUAAAUUAAUUUUGGAGUACUUUCCACAACCUGUUUUUGAAACCUAAAAGUCUGAAACACUUCUAACUUUAAAUCUUAUCCAUUUUCCCCGUAGAAGCAGUUUUAGAAAGUUUGGAAACAUGUGUUCUCGAAACAAACUACUUUCCAAAAAUAAUGCUAGGAAAAAAAAAAUUCCGAAGACCGCCAGCCAAACAAGUUUCUGAAUUUUGAACUUUUUGAAAAACGCAACAACCAAAUGGGGAUGUUCUUGGAGUGUUUUCAAUUUGGAGUGUGAUGAGAGUCGUCAUUUUACGAGGCUGUUUGUUGUUUAUGAGGCCCGCAAGUUUGGGUUUAAUUUUUGUUGUCCCGCUCUAUAUGUUGAUGCCACAUCCUUCAAGGGGACACACAA